GACAGAGGGGGCAAGCGUUGCUCGGAAUUACUGGGCGUAAAGGGCGCGUAGGCGGGAUGGCAAGUCGGUCGUGAAAUCCUUCGGCUCAACCGAAGAACGUCGAUCGAUACUGCUGUUCUUGAGGGUUGCAGAGGAGACUGGAAUUCCCGGUGUAGCGGUGAAAUGUGUAGAGAUCGGGAGGAACACCAGUGGCGAAGGCGGGUCUCUGGACAGUUCCUGACGCUGAGGCACGAAGGUCAGGGGAGCAAACGGG
rnacentral:rRNA from 1 species